rnacentral:tRNA from 7 species
ACGACCGUAGCUCAGCUGGUUAGAGCACCACCUUGACAUGGUGGGGGUCGGUGGUUCGAAUCCACUCGGUCGUACCA